rnacentral:rRNA from 1 species
AAAGACGGUCUUGCUGUCACUUAUAGAUGGAUCCGCGCUGCAUUAGCUAGUUGGUAAGGUAACGGCUUACCAAGGCAACGAUGCAUAGCCGACCUGAGAGGGUGAUCGGCCACACUGGAACUGAGACACGGUCCAGACUCCUACGGGAGGCAGCAGUAGGGAAUCUUCCGCAAUGGGCGAAAGCCUGACGGAGCAACGCCGCGUGAGUGAUGAAGGUCUUCGGAUCGUAAAACUCUGUUAUUAGGGAAGAACAUAUGUGUAAGUAACUGUGCACAUCUUGACGGUACCUAAUCAGAAAGCCACGGCUAACUACGUGCCAGCAGCCGCGGUAAUACGUAGGUGGCAAGCGUUAUCCGGAAUUAUUGGGCGUAAAGCGCGCGUAGGCGGUUUUUUAAGUCUGAUGUGAAAGCCCACGGCUCAACCGUGGAGGGUCAUUGGAAACUGGAAAACUUGAGUGCAGAAGAGGAAAGUGGAAUUCCAUGUGUAGCGGUGAAAUGCGCAGAGAUAUGGAGGAACACCAGUGGCGAAGGCGACUUUCUGGUCUGUAACUGACGCUGAUGUGCGAAAGCGUGGGGAUCAAACAGGAUUAGAUACCCUGGUAGUCCACGCCGUAAACGAUGAGUGCUAAGUGUUAGGGGGUUUCCGCCCCUUAGUGCUGCAGCUAACGCAUUAAGCACUCCGCCUGGGGAGUACGACCGCAAGGUUGAAACUCAAAGGAAUUGACGGGGACCCGCACAAG